GAUGUGUAGGAUAGGUGGGAGGCUUUGAAGCGUGGACGCCAGUCUGCGUGGAGCCGACCUUGAAAUACCACCCUUUAAUGUUUGAUGUUCUAACGUGGACCCGUUACCCGGGUUGCGGACAGUGUCUGGUGGGUAGUUUGACUGGGGCGGUCUCCUCCUAAAGAGUAACGGAGGAGCACGAAGGUUGGCUAAUCCUGGUCGGACAUCAGGAGGUUAGUGCAAUGGCAUAAGCCAGCUUGACUGCGAGCGUGACGGCGCGAGCAGGUGCGAAAGCAGGUCAUAGUGAUCCGGUGGUUCUGAAUGGAAGGGCCAUCGCUCAACGGAUAAAAGGUACUCCGGGGAUAACAGGCUGAUACCGCCCAAGAGUUCAUAUCGACGGCGGUGUUUGGCACCUCGAUGUCGGCUCAUCACAUCCUGGGGCUGAAGUAGGUCCCAAGGGUAUGGCUGUUCGCCAUUUAAAGUGGUACGCGAGCUGGGUUUAGAACGUCGUGAGACAGUUCGGUCCCUAUCUGCCGUGGGCGCUGGAGAACUGAGGGGGGCUGCUCCUAGUACGAGAGGACCGGAGUGGACGCAUCACUGGUGUUCGGGUUGUCAUGCCAAUGGCACUGCCCGGUAGCUAAAUGCGGAAGAGAUAAGUGCUGAAAGCAUCUAAGCACGAAACUUGCCCCGAGAUGAGUUCUCCCUGAGACUUAGAGUCUCCUGAAGGAACGUUGAAGACGACGACGUUGAUAGGCCGGGUGUGUAAGCGCAGCGAUGCGUUGAGCUAACCGGUACUAAUGAACCGUGAGGCUUAACCUUACAACGCCGAAG
rnacentral:rRNA from 1 species